GUGGUUCCUAUUUACACACUUUAACAUCACGGAGGGUGACCAUCUGCUUCCUUAGCGAUGAUUACCAAGAAACGUGGGCUGCGCAAACUGAGGACUUCUCCUGACCGUUCGCAAAUGACCGACUGCAGCCAGCUCUGCCCAAACCAGCACAAAGGAGAGGGAGAUGCUGUGAGCGCAGACCAGAGGGCUGGGAGGUGGAGGAAGGUGUUCAGAGAGCCGGCUCUGGUGACCUGUGCUGGCAUCGGGCCUGUCUGGAUUCCCUGGGCCAACUCAGCUGUCCGAGGAUGUCAGGCAGUUCCAGGUCCUGACAGGUCUUGGCCCUUGGCUCUCAGCUUCAGGACAACACAGACUGCCCGCAACUCCUGCCGCCCUCUAGCACCAAUAACUCCUGCUGCUCUCCCCUCCAGUGUAUGCAUCUGAAGAUGGUCGUGAAGACAAGAAAGAAGAAACAGUACUCCAAGAGGGACGGGUAGAAUCUUCUGUUUGGAAAUAAAGUCACGGAAAUGUU
rnacentral:lncRNA from 1 species